rnacentral:rRNA from 1 species
CGGGGGGAGCAAGCGUUGUUCGGAUUUACUGGGCGUAAAGGGCGCGUAGGCAGCCACCGCAAGUCGACUGUGAAAUCUCCGGGCUUAACCCGGAAAGGUCAGCCGAUACUGCGGGGCUAGAGUGCAGAAGGGGCAACUGGAAUUCUCGGUGUAGCGGUGAAAUGCGUAGAUAUCGAGAGGAACACCUGCGGCGAAGGCGGGUUGCUGGGCUGACACUGACGCUGAGGCGCGAAAGCUAGGGGAGCGAACGGGAUUAGAUACCCCGGUAGUCCUAGCCUUAAACGAUGAAUGCUUGGUGUCUGGGGUUUUAUAGUCCCCGGGUGCCGUCGCUAACGCUUUAAGCAUUCCGCCUGGGGAGUACGGUCGCAAGACUG